AUACGUAGGGUGCGAAGCGUUAAUCGGAAUCACUGGGCGUAAAGCGCAUGUAGGCGGACAUUUAAGUCAGGGGUGAAAUCCCGGGGCUCAACCUCGGAACUGCCUUUGAUACUGGGUGUCUAGAGUGUGGAAGAGGUAAGUGGAAUUCCGAGUGUAGAGGUGAAAUUCGUAGAUAUUCGGAGGAACACCAGUGGCGAAGGCGGCUUACUGGUCCAUUACUGACGCUGAGGUGCGAAAGCGUGGGGAGC
rnacentral:rRNA from 1 species